AGGUCACUUCAAAGAGAGCUUGUGGGACCAAAACCAGGAGCUCUUAACACGGUAACCCAACAUUGAAGUUCUUCAUAGGAGGUGACAAACACUCAUUGUCCUGUUUUCCUGAGGAGAUACACGA